GUGGGGAAUAUUGGACAAUGGGCGAAAGCCUGAUCCAGCCAUGCCGCGUGUGUGAAGAAGGUCUUCGGAUUGUAAAGCACUUUAAGUUGGGAGGAAGGGCAGUAAGUUAAUACCUUGCUGUUUUGACGUUACCGACAGAAUAAGCACCGGCUAACUUCGUGCCAGCAGCCGCGGUAAUACGAAGGGUGCAAGCGUUAAUCGGAAUUACUGGGCGUAAAGCGCGCGUAGGUGGUUUUGUAAGUUGGAGGUGAAAUCCCCGGGCUCAACCUGGGAACUGCCUCCAAAACUGCAUGACUAUAGUACGGGAGGGGGUAGUGGAAUUUCCUGUGUAGCGGUGAAAUGCGUAGAUAUAGGAAGGAACACCAGUGGCGAAGGCGACUACCCGGACUGAUACUGACACUGAGGUGCGAAAGCGUGGGGAGCAAACAGGAUUAGAAACCCUGGUAGUCC
rnacentral:rRNA from 1 species